AUAAGGAUUACUUUGCAAGUUGAUAACUGAAGUCAUUAAUCAUCACUCUUCCUAUCACAAUUAUGAUAAAAUGCAUCAGUGUUUUCCUCUUAUAAAAAACAUCCAAUUAAAGGCUGAGGCAGAGGUUCUCCUUUGUGUUGUAUUCUUUUUAACAGUGGGAUGAUGCACUGAAGGUUAAAGAAUGGGAUGCCAUUGCUAUGGAGCAGUAUCUGAGAAACUGGGAGUUUCUCAGCACUACUCUUGUCUCAGCAUUUUCCUGCCAGUGUAGAAGUCUCCAGUUCUUUACAUCCUGAGAUGCUCCCUGGUUGCAGCUGAUGAAUUCACAACUCUCAUUCCAUCCUAACUCCUGCAAUGCAAAGUAAUGCAGUUAUUAAGAAGAUCUUCAUUUUAUGCUAGUGAUAAAUCUGCACUUAGAGAAGUGGGAGGUGAAGUGCUGUUAUAAAUGCUUUGUAUCUGACUUGAAACAUGUUGUUAGUUUCCAUUUGAAAGACUCUCUAUUUAAUUUCUAACAUGUAUUUUUGGAUAGAUAAAUGAAUUAAUUCCAUUCUUGAGUAAA